AUGUGAUAUUAUUAUUAUUUUUGCUUUUGUUUUCUCGUGAUCACGACUUAAUUUUCUCGUGAUCUCAAACUGUCUUCAUAUCUGAACAGGAAGCAAGUCGAGGAGCUUCAGGAUGCUCAAAUGCUCAGAGGAAAGCUCAGAGGGAGCAUUUUUUGUUCAGACGCAGUUUCAACUGACUGUUGCACAUACACGUUGGCGUCUUCGCCACCACAAUCAUCAAUGUACUGUAAUAUCCGCUGUAAAGAUGGACUUUAUCUCGCAUUAAGAGAGAGGGGUGUCCCAGAGGAGAAUCUCACAAAAAUGGAGGUAGAUUAACUAAUCUCAAAUAUAUAAACACCAGAUUCAGUACCUGUGUUACUCAAAUUGGUCAAAGUGUUUGGUUAUAUUUUUUAUACAUUACAUAACUGACUGGCUGACAAAAUGACCCAAUAUUAGACCUCAGACAUAGACAGACUAUAGAUAAUCAAGUAUGUGUUAUGGCUUCUCUGGCUAAUGAAGAACACAUUUUUGAUCACACAGGCAUGACUGUAAGUAAUGGCAGAAAUAAUUGUACCGUUAUAUGACUUGGAUGUAAUUGUGCUGAUCUGCAGCAUUGUAGUGAAGUACCAGGUGUAAACGUUCUAGACGCGGCCGUCAUGGCUUACAGUAACAUAUCUGUACUCCGCCAGCAGCUCAGACCUGACUGGAGGGUCCAUGGUGAGAUGAUAUGCUCAGCCUGGUAACCAUAGUGAGAGACAGAUAGAUAAAAUACACUAGACAUUCUAUACAAAUACAGUGUAAAGUUGAGUUAUGGGUGUUUUAAUCAGGUAUAAUAAGGCAUGGAGGUGUGAAGCCCAACAUCAUCCCUGACUACAGUGAGUUGGAGUAUUACUUACGCACUCCUUCACACCAAGACCUGCCCAUCAUCCAAGCCAAAGCUGAAGCCUGUUUUCAAGCUGCUGCUCUGGCCACGGGAUGUAAGGUAAGUGAACCAUAAACUUGUACAUUUUUAUCUCAUCUUAAGUCAUCUUGUAUAGUACGUAGGGAGCAUUGUGUGCUGUUAUAGAAAAAUAAUCAAGGAUAUAGUAAUAUGAUCUGUUUUCAUAUUUUCAUAUCAUGUCCUGAAGCAUUGUGGCGAAAACGCAGGGAACUCCUUCUAUAAAGACUAAAUUAAUAUCUCUUAAUGAAGAAAACCACACUAUAUCAAUAAUAAUGUAUUUCCUAUUGGAAAUGAAAAACUUUUUUUAAAUCUGUUUGUUAUUACAUAUAGCACCUGCCAUAUACGCCCCUAUAAUUAAGCUCUUAUUAUAAAGACAAUAUCUUUUUUUUUAGAUGUACAUUAAUAUAAACCUGUCAUUAACCUUGCAGUCAGAAUUACUGUACUAUCAGAAAAUGAAUCAACACCUUCCGAUCAAUCACAUCUAACAGUUCACCUGUACAGUUUAUUUCAUAAUUUUCCAAAAUGCCUUUAGGAAACCAUGUUAAAGUCAAAUUGAUCAAAAUGAUAGUAAUAUGUAGUUAAUUUGCUUGACUAAACCAAAGUUUGUUUCUUACAGGUUGAGCUUAUUUUUGCAAAGAACAAGUUUUUAACAAGUUGGUAGAGUGUCAGGAUGGAUCAGAUAGGUCCAGAAAGAAGAAGCAAACACCCUGAAAACCCAGAACACCGGGAGCUCAGAUAGUGGGACUUAUAGCUCAGCAGAAAAUGACAGGGAGAGAUAAAUAUUAAAUAUGCAUAUGAUCAUGUGAUGCUUAAAGACAAUGUAGAUUAUGUGCAGGCAGGGACUCCGGCAAGACUAGCUAUGAUAACUAAAAGGAAAAGCCAGAAGGUGACAGAUAUGAAGGCUUUGGACAUAAAGCGUCAAAGCACAUCACAGUCAGCAAACCUGAGUGACUUGUGAUGGUGGUAAGGUGACAGCAUCCAAAUAUCCCAGUACUCCAAACACUCUGUGCCCAUGAAACUUCCAGAUCUGCUCCUUUACCUAAGAAAAAUGAUACAUAGAAAGCUUGACAAAUGUAUCUUCAGCCUGGACUUAAACAUUGUGAAUGAAAAAGGAAGGAAAAGGGGCAAGACAACAAAUGUGAGUGCCCUCUGGUGGUCUGAGGGGGAAUUGUGGCACGCAGUACCUGUCACAGACCCCUCUGUGAAUUCCUCACCUUUUCCUUUUUCCCUUUCAACUCUUUCACUUUCUACAUUCACACCCUUUCAUUUCAGCUAAACCUGCCUAACCCCUGCCAAUUAACAUCAUCGUCCUCACUGCCUGUUGCCAGCAUUGAUAUAGUUAUUAAAGUUAAAUGUUAUGACAAAAUGCGAGCACUGACCUGUAUAUUCGUUAGGAAAGCUUAAGGUUAUUUGUAAAGGCAUUGGUUUAGUCUAAAGCAUGCUAAUUUUGUGAUUUCAAUCCCAUCUAUAUCAGGCUGUACCGAUUUCGGGAACGUGACUCAUGCUGUUCCAGGGAUUCACCCUUAUUUCUACAUUGGAUCUGAGGCACUGAAUCACACCACAGAAUAUACAGCGGCUUCUGGUGCAGAAGAAGCUCAGUUUUACACACUCCAGACUGCCAAAGCUUUGGCCAUGACUGCACUGGAUGUGAUCUUCAGCCCUGGAGUGUUAGACAAAGUCAAACAUGACUUUAAAGAGGCCAAACUCAAGGAGGAGAGAGGACUGCAAGAGGUGAAACACGGGCAAGCAGAGACUAACAAGAUAAAUGAAACAGUCUAGAAAUCGUAAAAGCCUAAUAUAUGAUUUACAAACUUUACAACUCUGUUGGUCUCUCCUGUUUGCUUGAGGAAUGUACAACUGUUACUAUAUGUACUAUAUGACAAAUUUUUCCCACAACCUAAAAGCAUGAUUUCAAGCAUUGACUAGAGAUUCCAAAUUUGUCAUCACUAAUUCAAAUAUAUAGAUUAAUAGACUCUUUGUAAUGAAGCUCAGAAAUCUAGUAAUGUUGUAUCUUAU